rnacentral:rRNA from 1 species
AACGAACGCUGGCGGCAGGCCUAACACAUGCAAGUCGAACGCCCUAGCAAUAGGGAGUGGCAGACGGGUGAGUAACACGUGGGUGACCUGCCCUCAGCUCUGGGAUAAGCCUGGGAAACCGGGUCUAAUACCGGAUAUGACUCCAUGACGCAUGUUGUGGGGUGGAAAGCCUUGUGCGGCUGAGGAUGGGCCCGCGGCCUAUCAGCUUGUUGGUGGGGUGAUGGCCUACCAAGGCGACGACGGGUAGCCGGCCUGAGAGGGCGACCGGCCACACUGGGACUGAGACACGGCCCAGACUCCUACGGGAGGCAGCAGUGGGGAAUCUUGCGCAAUGGGCGAAAGCCUGACGCAGCGACGCCGCGUGAGGGAUGACGGCCU